UCUCCCGCCCCCAGCCUAGACACACACGCAGAGCAGGCCUUCACCCCAGCCCCUCCCCUGGCCUCCCCGCGGGCCAGGGGGACGCGGUCGCCAGCCGGUUGGGUGAUUAACUUACCGUUUGUCUUUCGGAAAGUGUUCAGAUAUUAUUCUUCCAUAUAAAAUGACCCCAACUAGAUAUAGGAACCAUUCAAGAGACUUACCCCUGGAGGAGGAAAUGGCAACCCACUCCAAUAUUCUUGCCUGGGAAAUC